AGAAAGGCUUUCGCCUCCGUGUUCAUUCUUGUGUCUUGAAAGAUUUGGAACGAGCGCAAUGCUAGGGUCUUUCGUAACUCCGUCGCUACGAUGAUGAUUGUCUUUGCGAGGAUAAAGGAGGAGGCUCAGCUUUAGGCCCUUGCCGGUAUCACACACUUGAGUAAUGUAAUACCGCGAGAGUAG
rnacentral:rRNA from 1 species